rfam:Pteropus alecto contig37060, whole genome shotgun sequence.
GUGCCACUUGGGCAGCACAUAUACUAAAAUUAGAACGAUACAGAGAAGAUUAGCACGAUCCCUGUGCAAGGAUGACACACAAAUUCAUGAAGCAUUCCAUAUUUUG